UUGGGAAUCUUGGGCAAUGGGCGCAAGCCUGACCCAGCGACGCCGCGUGGGGGAUGAAGGCCUUCGGGUUGUAAACCCCUGUCAGGAGGGACGAGGCCCGCCCCUCCGAGGGCGGGUGACGGUACCUCCAGAGGAAGCCCCGGCUAACUACGUGCCAGCAGCCGCGGUAAGACGUAGGGGGCGAGCGUUGCCCGGAUUUACUGGGCGUAAAGCGGGUGCAGGCGGCCGGGUAAGUCCCGUGUGAAAGCCCACGGCUCAACCGUGGAACGUCGCGGGAAACUGUCCGGCUUGAGGGCAGCAGAGGGUGGUGGAAUUCCCGGUGUAGCGGUGAAAUGCGUAGAGAUCGGGAGGAACGCCAGUGGCGAAGGCGGCCACCUGGGCUGUCCCUGACGCUCAGACCCGAAAGCUGGGGGAGCGAACGGG
rnacentral:rRNA from 1 species